AGCGAACGCUGGCGGCAGGCCUAACACAUGCAAGUCGAACGAACUCUUCGGAGUUAGUGGCGGACGGGUGAGUAACACGUGGGAACGUGCCUUUUGGUUCGGAAUAACUCAGGGAAACUUGUGCUAAUACCGAAUGUGCCCUUCGGGGGAAAGAUUUAUCGCCAUUAGAGCGGCCCGCGUCUGAUUAGCUAGUUGGUGAGGUAACGGCUCACCAAGGCGACGAUCAGUAGCUGGUCUGAGAGGAUGACCAGCCACACUGGGACUGAGACACGGCCCAGACUCCUACGGGAGGCAGCAGUGGGGAAUCUUGCGCAAUGAGCGAAAGCCUGACGCAGCCAUGCCGCGUGAAUGAUGAAGGUCUUAGGAUUGUAAAAUUCUUUCACCGGGGACGAUAAUGACGGUACCCGGAGAAGAAGCCCCGGCUAACUUCGUG
rnacentral:rRNA from 1 species